GGGUUGUGAGGUUAAGCGACUAAGCGUACACGGUGGAUGCCCUGGCAGUCAGAGGCGAUGAAGGACGUGCUAAUCUGCGAUAAGCGUCGGUAAGGUGAUAUGAACCGUUAUAACCGGCGAUUUCCGAAUGGGGAAACCCAGUGUGUUUCGACACACUAUCAUUAACUGAAUCCAUAGGUUAAUGAGGCGAACCGGGGGAACUGAAACAUCUAAGUACCCCGAGGAAAAGAAAUCAACCGAGAUUCCCCCAGUAGCGGCGAGCGAACGGGGAGCAGCCCAGAGCCUGAAUCAGUGUGUGUGUUAGUGGAAGCGUCUGGAAAGGCGCGCGAUACAGGGUGACAGCCCCGUACACAAAAAUGCACAUACUGUGAGCUCGAUGAGUAGGGCGGGACACGUGGUAUCCUGUCUGAAUAUGGGGGGACCAUCCUCCAAGGCUAAAUACUCCUGACUGACCGAUAGUGAACCAGUACCGUGAGGGAAAGGCGAAAAGAACCCCGGCGAGGGGAGUGAAAAAGAACCUGAAACCGUGUACGUACAAGCAGUGGGAGCCUCUUAAUGGGGUGACUGCGUACCUUUUGUAUAAUGGGUCAGCGACUUAUAUUCUGUAGCAAGGUUAACCGAAUAGGGGAGCCGAAGGGAAACCGAGUCUUAACUGGGCGUUAAGUUGCAGGGUAUAGACCCGAAACCCGGUGAUCUAGCCAUGGGCAGGUUGAAGGUUGGGUAACACUAACUGGAGGACCGAACCGACUAAUGUUGAAAAAUUAGCGGAUGACUUGUGGCUGGGGGUGAAAGGCCAAUCAAACCGGGAGAUAGCUGGUUCUCCCCGAAAGCUAUUUAGGUAGCGCCUCGUGAAUUCAUCUCCGGGGGUAGAGCACUGUUUCGGCAAGGGGGUCAUCCCGACUUACCAACCCGAUGCAAACUGCGAAUACCGGAGAAUGUUAUCACGGGAGACACACGGCGGGUGCUAACGUCCGUCGUGAAGAGGGAAACAACCCAGACCGCCAGCUAAGGUCCCAAAGUCAUGGUUAAGUGGGAAACGAUGUGGGAAGGCCCAGACAGCCAGGAUGUUGGCUUAGAAGCAGCCAUCAUUUAAAGAAAGCGUAAUAGCUCACUGGUCGAGUCGGCCUGCGCGGAAGAUGUAACGGGGCUAAACCAUGCACCGAAGCUGCGGCAGCGACACUAUGUGUUGUUGGGUAGGGGAGCGUUCUGUAAGCCUGUGAAGGUGUACUGUGAGGUAUGCUGGAGGUAUCAGAAGUGCGAAUGCUGACAUAAGUAACGAUAAAGCGGGUGAAAAGCCCGCUCGCCGGAAGACCAAGGGUUCCUGUCCAACGUUAAUCGGGGCAGGGUGAGUCGACCCCUAAGGCGAGGCCGAAAGGCGUAGUCGAUGGGAAACAGGUUAAUAUUCCUGUACUUGGUGUUACUGCGAAGGGGGGACGGAGAAGGCUAUGUUGGCCGGGCGACGGUUGUCCCGGUUUAAGCGUGUAGGCUGGUUUUCCAGGCAAAUCCGGAAAAUCAAGGCUGAGGCGUGAUGACGAGGCACUACGGUGCUGAAGCAACAAAUGCCCUGCUUCCAGGAAAAGCCUCUAAGCAUCAGGUAACAUCAAAUCGUACCCCAAACCGACACAGGUGGUCAGGUAGAGAAUACCAAGGCGCUUGAGAGAACUCGGGUGAAGGAACUAGGCAAAAUGGUGCCGUAACUUCGGGAGAAGGCACGCUGAUAUGUAGGUGAAGUCCCUUGCGGAUGGAGCUGAAAUCAGUCGAAGAUACCAGCUGGCUGCAACUGUUUAUUAAAAACACAGCACUGUGCAAACACGAAAGUGGACGUAUACGGUGUGACGCCUGCCCGGUGCCGGAAGGUUAAUUGAUGGGGUUAGCGGUAACGCGAAGCUCUUGAUCGAAGCCCCGGUAAACGGCGGCCGUAACUAUAACGGUCCUAAGGUAGCGAAAUUCCUUGUCGGGUAAGUUCCGACCUGCACGAAUGGCGUAAUGAUGGCCAGGCUGUCUCCACCCGAGACUCAGUGAAAUUGAACUCGCUGUGAAGAUGCAGUGUACCCGCGGCAAGACGGAAAGACCCCGUGAACCUUUACUAUAGCUUGACACUGAACAUUGAGCCUUGAUGUGUAGGAUAGGUGGGAGGCUUUGAAGUGUGGACGCCAGUCUGCAUGGAGCCGGCCUUGAAAUACCACCCUUUAAUGUUUGAUGUUCUAACGUUGGCCCCUGAUCGGGGUUGCGGACAGUGUCUGGUGGGUAGUUUGACUGGGGCGGUCUCCUCCUAAAGAGUAACGGAGGAGCACGAAGGUUGGCUAAUCCUGGUCGGACAUCAGGAGGUUAGUGCAAUGGCAUAAGCCAGCUUGACUGCGAGCGUGACGGCGCGAGCAGGUGCGAAAGCAGGUCAUAGUGAUCCGGUGGUUCUGAAUGGAAGGGCCAUCGCUCAACGGAUAAAAGGUACUCCGGGGAUAACAGGCUGAUACCGCCCAAGAGUUCAUAUCGACGGCGGUGUUUGGCACCUCGAUGUCGGCUCAUCACAUCCUGGGGCUGAAGUAGGUCCCAAGGGUAUGGCUGUUCGCCAUUUAAAGUGGUACGCGAGCUGGGUUUAGAACGUCGUGAGACAGUUCGGUCCCUAUCUGCCGUGGGCGCUGGAGAACUGAGGGGGGCUGCUCCUAGUACGAGAGGACCGGAGUGGACGCAUCACUGGUGUUCGGGUUGUCAUGCCAAUGGCACUGCCCGGUAGCUAAAUGCGGAAGAGAUAAGUGCUGAAAGCAUCUAAGCACGAAACUUGCCCCGAGAUGAGUUCUCCCUGACUCUUUAAGGGUCCUGAAGGAACGUUGAAGACGACGACGUUAAUAGGCCGGGUGUGUAAGCGCAGCGAUGCGUUGAGCUAACCGGUACUAAUGAACCGUGAGGCUUAACCUUACAACGCCGAAG
rnacentral:rRNA from 1 species